CACCCUCGUGCAGCCUCAGGUCGCGUGCUGACGGGUCUUCUGUGACGCACUCCCACACCUGCCUCCCUGGACACCCACACAGCCGCCACCCCACCCAGGCCACCGUCAUCUGCCACUGUAACCGGCGCCGGCAGCCUCGUACUGUGCUCGCCAGGAGAGGCUGCUCCCCAGCACGUGCCCAGGACAGCCCCUCCCUGGCUGGUCCCGAGGUCCCCAAGGCCCCCACUCCGGGCUGCCCGCCCCCUGCGCCCACACCUGGGUGCACACGCACGCGCACGCACACACGUGCACGCCCGCAUCGCCGGUGCUGGGCGUCUCACCCGGUCUUCACUCGCACCUCAGUAGCGCCUGGGUACUCACCUUUCUCUCCAGUAGAACCCCGCUUCCAGCUGACUCCCAGUAGAGCUGAAGCUGGAGCCGUGGGCGCUGCCAGGCCUGGGCAGGCUGCAGGGAGGCGUGCAGUGGAGACACUGGAUGUGUGCAGUCUCCACAGGCAGACAGGUGAAGCUGAGACAGGACAGCAUCGUGGACGGGGUUCCAGAGAGCACAAGGAAAGCACAAAAAGGAAGGAUGGAGGGAGGAAGGAAGGAAAAAGCACCAGGCAAGGAGAGCGCUUCCCUUGCACUCGUGAAAAUCAUUCUAGGUCUCUGUUCCUUUGGAGCCAGCAGAGGGCAGGGAGUGGUGCUGGUGAAGAGCAUGGGCUCCACAUCUGCAUCCACAUCAGCAAACCUAGACGAGGCAGGCUCAGCCCGGAGGGGCAGGGCUGCUGACUCACUUUACCCUGACUCCUGCCACAGUGCCAAAGGCCAGGAGCCAAGAGGGCAGUGACCCAAAGCAGUUUUCCUCGCCCUGGAUGGGAGAGCAAUGGGGGUCCAGGCCAGAGGGCUGUGGGAUGGGCCCAGCUUGCUCCACACCUGGCCAAGUGACAGUGGAGUCCCCAGAGGACUCUGGGCUACUCCUCCCCCCAGGGUGCUCCUCCCCCCUCCCCCCUGCAGGGCUUUCUUCCAUCUCUCACCCCUCAGGGUCUUCUUCUGAUCCAUCAUGCAGCAGGAUCCUUUUCUGAUCCCUCAUCCCAGCAAGGAAAACUUUCCUUCAAUCCUGUGCCCCAGUUCUUUGUGGUGUCCCUGGUCCCCUGUGCUCUCUUUCUUGUCGGCGCGGCCGUCCUCUCCUGUCUCUGUGACUGUGGCUAGAUGUGCACAUUGCCUCGCUGCACAGGCCUCUGUCUGGCUCCCUCCCUGUCCCUGCUCCCCACUCAUGGCCAUCAGACCCAGGGCUCUGGGACCCACACGGAGGUGAGCCUGUGAAUCCCGGCACCAUCUCUAUCAGCCUGGGGGCUGAUGGCAGGGUCCCCACCUCAGCUGGAAAUCCCCCUCAGCCUCCUGCCUGCAUCUUAAAUUGCAGCAUUUUUUAAUUAAAUGACUUUGCCCCAGGCACUUCAC
rnacentral:lncRNA from 1 species